ACCCUAUUUAAAUAGUCUUAAAACACUAAAAUUAAUAUUUUUCACUAUACAUUGCUCACUAGGCUAUUUUUGAUAAACUGUUACGACCCGGAUUACCCACCCUCGGGAGUCGUGAUGGCGCCUACUAGUGAGAGCUAGACAAACUAAUCUUUAACUACUUACCUUAUUACCAAAUUACUUCUUUUAGCAAUUAAAAAUGUGAUAACAUGAAAAUUGAGGAACUUUAGAUAAUUAAGCAAAAAAUAACAAUUAAACACCUAAAAUCUGCGAAUGUUAUAGUUACUUAAGUCUUAAUCACUCAAACCCGGUGUAACAGUGUCACAGACUGUCUAAGAUUUACUCUGUACAAGGUAUGAAGAAAUAAUAGUACAAUGAUUCUGAAUAAGGAAAAUGAAACAGGAAAUAGAGAUAGAAGGAGACGUCAGGGCCUGCAGACGCCUGCAGGUCUACCUUGGAUCUCCGGGUGGAUUGAAGGAAGCCCUCCAACUAAUAUUGUUGUUCGAUACCUGUAUUUGUGCAAAAGAGCACAUAAUAUAGUAUCAACACAAUCCAUCCCAUGUGCUGGUAAUAUCUCCGAGAAUUGGGCCACAUUGAAAGUAAUCUCUCCAAGAAUUCGGCCACAUUGAGAGUAGUCUCUCCAAGUAUCGGCCCAUGAAAGUAAUCUCUCCUAUAUGUCAGGCAAGGAUGAGUACUCAUCCCUUCACACCCCAAGAUUGACCUACAAAAAAUGACAAAAGAAGAAAAGCACAAGAAAAGAGGAAGAAAUUUGCGUCAAUGCUUCCAAGUCAUCAAAAAUGGAUGCAAAGUGGCUUGCAA
rnacentral:lncRNA from 1 species